GCCCUGGCAUGCCCAUUCUCUCAAUCGCACCCUCUCUCCUUCUUUCUCUCUGUCAAAUAAAUAAAUAAAAUCUUUUUUUUUAAGAACAAAGAGGGCUGGUUCUUCCAGUUGACAGGGAGAUAUUGUGUUAACUGGAAUGAGAGUGGGAACAAGAAUAUUCAAGGUAUCAGGUCAGGGGUCUCAAAGGACUUAGCUGUGUUGUGGCCACUGAGAGAUGAAACACAGAUCUUUGGUAAUCUGAUGGCU